rnacentral:rRNA from 1 species
AUGGCGCGUGCCGCACUCCUCCGUUCCUUCCCGCCGCCCCGCGUCCGCCCAUUUUCCUCGCCGGCGGCGGCUCCCUUGGCCCCACCCGGCGGCGGCUCCUCCGCUCCUCGUGCGGCGCAGGGUCGAGAAUCCGGAGGAGCGGUCGGUUUCCGAACGGAACUCCCCGAGUUCUCCCCCGAAUCGCCGAUGCUGCGGGCGGCGGCCGAGGCGGCGCUGCGGCGCGUCUCGCCGGCCCCGGCAAGAUCCGUGCACGCGCAGUUUCGCCGGGGCCCGGAACUGCGGGUGGCGUGGGUCCCCCUGUACAGACGCCUGUCGAAGCUGCCCCCAGCGGCGCCGCUGGGAUGCGUGGCGGCGGAGCUCGACCGGUGGCUCCGCGAGAGACAGCCGCUCUGCGAGCACCAGCUCCUCUUCUACGUCCGCAAGCUCCGCAACUUCAGACAGCACAGGCGCGCCCUCGAGCUGAUAGACUGGAUGGAAGCUCGUGGGGCAUACUUGCUUCCUGGGGAUCAUGCGCUGCGGCUUGACCUUGUAUGCAAAGUGAAUGGGCUAGAAGCUGCCGAAGAAUACUUCUCGAGUCUUCCGGAUAUGCAUAAAUCAGUGAAAACAUAUUCCUCUCUGCUUAACUGCUAUGCAGAACACAAGCCAGAGAAAGGUCUGGAACUGUAUGAAAAGAUGAGAACCAUGAACAUCGUUCCGAAUACACUGGUGUACAAGAAUUUGAUGUCCUUGUACCUGAAGGCAGGCCAGCCAGAGAAAGUCCUCAAAACAUUUGAAGAAAUGCGAGGAAAUGGCAUACAAACAGAUAAUUUUACAUACUGCAUCCUGACAGAAAGCCAUAUUAUGGUUAAUGGCCUAGAAUCCACCAAGAAGUUCCUGGAAGAUUUGGAGAAGUCAAUUCCAGUUCACUGGUCCCUGUACACUGUGCUGGCUAACAACUACAAUAAAGUGGGGCAGUUUGACAAGGCGGAAUUGGCCCUAAAGAAAGCUGAGGAAGUCAUGGACAAGGGUGAGAUGUUUGCUUGGCAUAAUCUUCUCUCCCUCUAUGCCAGUUCCGGCAACUUGUCCGAGGUCAAGAGGCUUUGGGUAUCUCUGAAGUCAGAAUUGAAGAUAUGUUCAAACAGAAGUUACCUAGUGAUGCUUUCAUCUCUGAAAAAGCUAGACGAUUUCGACUCCAUGCAGCAGGUCUUCCAGGAGUGGGAAUUCACUCAACAGAGCUUUGACAUGAGGAUACCAAACGUGAUGAUUCGAGCUUACCUUGCCAAGGACAUGACAGACGAAGCCGAGGCUCUCCGCCAGGCAGCCAUGGCCCAAGGCCGUUCUGAUCCUAUGACCUUCUACAUAUUCGCUGAGUCCUAUCUGGAGAAAUCCAGGACCGAUGCAGCGCUCCAGGUCUGGAGGGACGCAGAGAAGAUAGUCAAUACCCCAAACUGGGCACCGCGGCCAGAGUUUGUGAAGAGAUUUCUGAAGCAUUUCGAGGAAGCGAAGGAUGUGGAUGGGAUGGAGUCGUUCUGCGCGUGCCUUGAGAAGCUGGAGUGCCUCGACGCAGAUGCUCGUGAUGCCCUGUCCCGGACCUAUGUAGCUGCAGGCAGAACAAAUCCAUCCUCUAUCAUUCACCGGACGGAAGAAGACCAGGUUGAGACUAGACCUGGCUAG